CCUACGGGGGGCAGCAGUGGGGAAUAUUGGACAAUGGGGGGAACCCUGAUCCAGCCAUGCCGCGUGUGUGAAGAAGGCCCUCGGGUUGUAAAGCACUUUCAGUGAGGAAGAACGCCUGGUGGUUAAUACCCAUCAGGAAAGACAUCACUCACAGAAGAAGCACCGGCUAACUCCGUGCCAGCAGCCGCGGUAAUACGGAGGGUGCGAGCGUUAAUCGGAAUUACUGGGCGUAAAGCGCGCGUAGGUGGCUUGAUAAGCCGGUUGUGAAAGCCCCGGGCUCAACCUGGGAACGGCAUCCGGAACUGUCAAGCUAGAGUGCAGGAGAGGAAGGUAGAAUUCCCGGUGUAGCGGUGAAAUGCGUAGAGAUCGGGAGGAAUACCAGUGGCGAAGGCGGCCUUCUGGACUGACACUGACACUGAGGUGCGAAAGCGUGGGUAGCAAACAGGAUUAGAUACCCUUCUAGUC
rnacentral:rRNA from 1 species